AAAAAAGAGAGUCCCAGUUCACUUGUUAUUUUUAUGUUUCUAAAAUCUACUGAUGUCACUCUCCUUCUGCUGUCCCUUUUUCACUCCACUCUUUUAGUCUUACUUUAUUUUCUUCCAUUAUCCUAUGUAUUCUUUUUCAUCAAAAUUAAAGAAAUUACAAAACAGGUGAAAGAUAGUUUUUCUAGUAGUGAAGCCGGCGAACAACAGAUCAUUCCCAGAAACAUUUAAGACAACCCUAAUCUAAUCCUAAACCAGAGAUUUAACUAGAAAAUUUAAAGAAGUCACUUAUCUAAUCCUGAAAAUCACACCACUACCAAAAGAAUAUUGAGCUUCUAGAGAUCACUUUACCAAAACAACUCACCGAAGAAGCACAAAGAUGCACAAACUGUUCUUAACAUUAGAGCCCCAUUCA
rnacentral:lncRNA from 1 species